CAAGGUUCCAACCAGAAUACAGUGUUGUUUUGCUAUCACCUUGACCAUGGGAGUUUGUGAUUAAUUGAUUCUGAUGCACAUCAGGUCAGGAGACUGCAGAUCUAAUGAACGUCAGCUCCUUAAUCAACCCACACAUGGAUGGUGGUGUGUAUUUGAAGAUAUUUGAGCAGGAUGGCACUACUGAUAACCAGUUCUCCUGAAAUCACAAGUAAAGCCACCAAUCAAAAUACAUGUCAA
rnacentral:lncRNA from 1 species